UACGGGGGGGGCAAGCGUUGUUCGGAAUUACUGGGCGUAAAGGGCUCGUAGGUGGCCAACUAAGUCAGACGUGAAAUCCCUCGGCUUAACCGGGGAACUGCGUCUGAUACUGGAUGGCUAGAGAUUGGGAGAGGGAUGCGGAAUUCCAGGUGUAGCGGUGAAAUGCGUAGAUAUCUGGAGGAAUACCGGUGGCGAAGGCGGCAUCCUGGACCAUUACUGACGCUGAGGCGCGAAAGCUAGGGGAGCAAACGGG
rnacentral:rRNA from 1 species